rnacentral:rRNA from 1 species
GACGGAGGAUGCAAGCGUUAUCCGGAAUGAUUGGGCGUAAAGCGUCCGCAGGUGGCAGUUCAAGUCUGCUGUCAAAGACCGGGGCUUAACUUCGGAAAGGCAGUGGAAACUGAACAGCUAGAGUAUGGUAGGGGUAGAGGGAAUUUCCAGUGGAGCGGUGAAAUGCGUAGAUAUUGGAAAGAACACCGAUGGCGAAGGCACUCUACUGGGCUAUUACUGACACUCAGAGACGAAAGCUAGGGGAGCAAAUGGG